rfam:Rattus norvegicus chromosome 8, whole genome shotgun sequence.
GGGGAUUUAGCUCAGUGGUAGAGCGCUUGCCUAGCAAAUGCAAGGCCCUGGGUUCAGUCCUCA